rnacentral:rRNA from 1 species
CGAAAGCCUGACGGAGCAAGACCGCGUGAGGGAGGAAGGCUCUUGGGUUGUAAACCUCUUUUCUCAGGGAAGAAGCUCUGACGGUACCUGAGGAAUCAGCCUCGGCUAACUCCGUGCCAGCAGCCGCGGUAAUACGGAGGAUGCAAGCGUUAUCCGGAAUCAUUGGGCGUAAAGAGUCCGUAGGUGGCUAGUCAAGUCUGCUGUCAAAGACCGAAGCUUAACUUCGGAAAGGCGGUGGAAACUGAAGAGCUAGAGUACAGAAGGGGUAGAGGGAAUUCCCAGUGUAGCGGUGAAAUGCGUAGAGAUCGGGAAGAACAUCGGUGGCGAAAGCGCUCUACUGGACGGCAACUGACACUCAGGGACGAAAGCUAGGGGAGCG